AUUUCUUUUAUAUCUCAAACAACAAAUUAAUUAAAAAAAAACAUGUCUUGCUGUGGAGGAAGUUGUGGUUGUGGAUCUGGCUGCAAGUGCGGCAGUGGCUGUGGAGGAUGUGGUAUGUACCCGGACAUGGAGAAGUCCACCACCUUUACCAUCAUUGAAGGUGUUGCACCUAUCAACAAGUA